rnacentral:lncRNA from 1 species
GGCGGUUGAGACAGCGGCGGUACUGGGAGGCGUAGGUGAGGGUCGCGAGGCUGCCCGAGCUUCUGAGCGAGCGCGGUGCUUUUGGGAACGCGGGACGGGCGAUCUGCGGCGCCAGGAGCUGGGCCGAGGCGCGGCGGCGCGGCUGCCGGCUGCCCUGUGAAUGGGAAGUUACGCGAAGUCCACCCAGCGUUUCUGAGGCAAUCUGAAGGCAAAUCCUGUUUAGACCCAGGCGAAGGUUCCCGGUGACCCGGGCUCUCACCAGCCAAUUGUCCCUUGCCGUCCUCCUGAGGGUGCCUGGAGCUUAAGCACUGUGUGCUCUUGGCCUCCACACUGGGGAUGCCGCUGACUCCCACUGUCCAGGGCUUCCAGUGGAUUCUCCGAGGCCCUGAUGUAGAAACUUCCCCAUUGGGUGCACCAAGAGCAGCCUCACAUGGUGUGGGCUGACAUCAAGAGCUGCCAGAUCCAACAGGUCCUGGGGGAGUAGGAGCCAGUGCAAGGAGAGAAGUCCAUUGAGAAAGGCAAAUGGAUGACAUCAGACCCAGGGGCUGAGGUCCCCAACUGCAGCUGGGUAGCUUCUGGAGUGGACAAGGAGCAACAGGGAAGUUCGUGGCCUGGUGUUCUGGGAUCCACUGUCUCAUCUCAUUCUUGUGGGCACCAGAACGUAUCCAAAGACAAGACUCAGUGUCUCUGGCAACAGUGAGCCAGAGAUAGAAUGUGUUUCAGAGGAGGAGGAAGGGGUUGUUGUACCCCAUGGAAACAGUAUAUUGUUUUACAGUAGCGUGUCUUUCUCUAAUAACUACUUAGCGUGUUCCUGUUAAUGGAAAAUAUUGGUGGUGUAAGUUUCCCCACUGUUCUCAUCUUCAUGUAAAUUUGUUCAUUUCCUUCCUUCCUUCCUUCCUUCCCUACUUCCCUCCAACUCUCUUUCUCUCUCUUUUUAUUCUUUCCCUCCUUCCCACCCGCCCUCCAUCCCUCCCUUCCUUCCUCCUUCCCUCCUUCCCUCCCUUCUUUCCUUUCUUCCUUUCUUCUUUUCUUCUUCUUUCUCUCUCAUGCUCUCUCUUUUUCUUUCCUUUUCAUUCUCUCUACUUUUUUGAAGAGAUCACACUGUACUGAAACCUACAUUAUUUUCCAAAAUCUCUGGAUCUGCUUCUGUCUUGCAGGCAGAGAGCUCAUCCAGUAGCCCUUAGCUCUUCCCAGCCCCCUCCUUUGAUUUGUGGGUGCCACUGCGGCAGCUGCUGAGUCUCAGUGGUUUCUGGUCUUCACCAAGUUCUGCCCACCCAGAUGGUUUUUACCUGUCCUCACCAGAAACCUGCACUGUCUAGAUUGCUGAGGCUGCUUCUCCUUAACCGAUCUGCUAUCUGUAUUCCAGGGGCACCCCAGGGUUAGAGGUAAAUGGCACAGGCCUUGAAAUCUCCAACUGCUCUGACUCCAGGUUGGUGCACUUCAAUGCCAAGUACUAACCACACAAUUACAGGAUGCCACCAAAACCUUGAUAUGGGGCUGCUGCAUCCUAAUUAAAAAAACAGUUAAUAGACAUUAUUUUUUAGAACAGUUCUAGGUUUACAGAAAACUUGAGUGGAUAAUACAGAGAGUUCUCCUAGGCUCCCCUGUCCUCCAGCACACAAUUUUCCCUACUAGUAUGUUGUAUUAGUGUGGUCCAUUCAUUACAAUUGAUGAACCACUGUUGAUACGUCAUUAUCAACUAAAGUCCAUAGUUUACAUUAGAGGUCAUUCUUUGAGUUUCACAGAUUAUGGGUUUUGGCAAUUACAUAAUGUCCUAAAUCCCCAAUACAGCAUCAUGCGAAAGAGUUUCACUGCUGAAAAUUCCCUGUGCUUCACCAUUUCACGCGUCCUCCUCUCCUCCACCCCUGACAACCACUCACCAUUUUACUACUUCUAUCUUUUUGACUUUCCAAGAAUGUCCUAGAGUUGGAGUGGUACAGUAUGUGGGUUUCCAGACUGGCUUCUUUCUAGCAUUAUGUACUUUAAGUUCCUUCAUGUCUUUUCAUGGCUUGAUAACUUGUUUUUUAAAAUCAGUGAAUCAGAUUUCCUUGUAUGGCUACAACAGUUUGUUUAUUCUUUCGCUUGGUGAAAGACAUCUUGGGCACUUCCAAGUUUUGGCGAUGAUGAAUAAAAUUGCUGUAAGUACUUCUGUGCAGGAUUUUGAGUGAACUUAAGUUUUCCAAAGUGACUGUACCCUUUUGAUUUCCACUAGCGAUGGAAAGUUCUGGUUGCUCCUCAUCUUUGACAGCAUUUGGUGUGUUCACCUUUUUGAAUUUUAGCCAUUCUAAACAGCUUAUCUGCCCCUACUGUGGAAUGAUGUGACAGACAUAGAAUAACACUUACAGUGAUUCUAGUUCAAAAUGAGGCAACAUGGAAGGGAUAAAGAAGUCACUGACCCAAAAUAGUUUGGAAAUGGAGCUGGGCAAAAUCCAGCAGAAGUUUCUUAAUUAGGAUCGACAGCCUGGGACCGGCCCGCCGUCCUGUGGGUCUUUGCCUCUGGGCUGUCUGCUGUGCAUUUCUUGGAACCAUUAUUAUUUAUCUUUUUUUCUCACACUUUUUUGGGUAUGGCUUCUAUCGCACUCCAAAUGUUUUUGAGAUUCAUCCAUGUUGUUCUGUGUGUCACCAGUUUGUUCCUUUAGCCAUUCCAUGGAAUGAGUGUAUCACAGUUUAUUGAUCCAUUCUUGUAUUGACAGAUACUUGAAUGUUUCCAGUUUUUUGUAUUAUGAAUAAAACUGCUAUGAACAUUCUUGUAUAA